UACGUAGGGGGCAAGCGUUGUUCGGAAUUACUGGGCGUAAAGGGCGCGUAGGCGGCACAGCAAGUCGGGAGUGAAAGCCCGGGGCUCAACCCCGGAAUGGCUUUCGAAACUGCUGAGCUAGAGUACAGAAGGGGCAACCGGAAUUCCCAGUGUAGCGGUGAAAUGCGUAGAUAUUGGGAAGAACACCUGAGGCGAAGGCGGGUUGCUGGGCUGAUACUGACGCUGAGGCGCGAAAGCCAGGGGAGCAAGCGGG
rnacentral:rRNA from 1 species